AAGAACCUGGUAGAAGCAGGUCACGUGAUCUGCUAAAAUCUGAAGAUUUUUCAUUAACUGUCUAGGAUUCCUUUAAAAUCAAAUCAAACUUGCCAAAUCAAAUGCAAGUUAUAAAUUGAUGUAAAAAUAUCAAAUAUUUAUCAACAUCGUCAUCAUUAAAAAUCUGCUAGAUUUUAGCCGAUCACGUGACCAGCUCCUACCAGGGUCUU